CGCGCCAACUGUCAAAAUGUUUUGAAAAACAAAAUGCUCUUAUUUCGAUGCAUUUCAGGAGUUUUGUUGUGAUAAGAACACUGGAAUAUAGACUGAAAUACUAUCCAACCAUUAGACUCAUGAUCUUGACAUGGAUCCAAGAUGCUGGUAACUAGGCGGGACGGAUUGUUACACAGAACUGCAGGUUUCUGGAUGGAGACUCAGCGCCAUGUCACAAAUACUUCAGAGCCUAGAAUGAAAGUUACCGAAAGAGCAAUAGACUUUCAAAUCUCUACAAAAUUCAUCUUAACUGUUUUUCAAGGUGAUACUUGAGACUACCAAAGACUUUUCAAGGACAGAAUUCACAAAACAGUUUAUGCCACCAUCUCAUAUCAAAGGAUUGUGCUUGAGUUGAACAGCCUUCAAACAGAAACUGUUUCAAAACCUUCAAUGGAUUCAUUCUGAUUCAGUUUACCCUUGCUGUGAUCUGAGCAACUAUUUACAUCAAUUCAACAUUGUAAAUUGUUUAAACUUGAAAAUUCUGUCUUCGUGCAACUCACAUGAAUCUAUUUACUGUGGACUUUGAUGUUGACUCUAUACAGGAAGAAGAGACCAUCUUUAUACAUGCUGGCAUAUCUUUUAAAAAGGAAACAAAUAUUAUAACCAACAUACUACACUGUUAUGUCAUCCAAGGACUCAGCUACUGACUCAAUUUAUAAAUACUUCAAAGGAAAAAUGUCUCUGUCAAUGUAAUUACUGCUGUGCAUAAUAAGACAUUUUUAUUAUGUGCCUCUUCGAAGAAGAGGGGUAUAUUGCUUUGCACAUGUCGGUUGGUCGGUCGGUACCGUCUACCGUCUGUAGACCAAAGCUUGUCCGAGUGAUAACUCAACAAUUCCUGGAUGUAUGGUCAUCAAACUUGACAU